UAUCAUGAUGACGAGCGGCGGACGGGUGAGUAAUGCUUGGGAACAUGCCUUGAGGUGGGGGACAACAGUUGGAAACGACUGCUAAUACCGCAUAAUGUCUACGGACCAAAGGGGGCUUCGGCUCUCGCCUUUAGAUUGGCCCAAGUGGGAUUAGCUAGUUGGUGAGGUAAUGGCUCACCAAGGCGACGAUCCCUAGCUGGUUUGAGAGGAUGAUCAGCCACACUGGGACUGAGACACGGCCCAGACUCCUACGGGAGGCAGCAGUGGGGAAUAUUGCACAAUGGGCGCAAGCCUGAUGCAGCCAUGCCGCGUGUGUGAAGAAGGCCUUCGGGUUGUAAAGCACUUUCAGUCAGGAGGAAAGGUUAGUAGUUAAUACCUGCUAGCUGUGACGUUACUGACAGAAGAAGCACCGGCUAACUCCGUGCCAGCAGCCGCGGUAAUACGGAGGGUGCGAGCGUUAAUCGGAAUUACUGGGCGUAAAGCGUACGCAGGCGGUUUGUUAAGCGAGAUGUGAAAGCCCCGGGCUCAACCUGGGAACUGCAUUUCGAACUGGCAAACUAGAGUGUGAUAGAGGGUGGUAGAAUUUCAGGUGUAGCGGUGA
rnacentral:rRNA from 1 species